GGGAUAAUACUUGGAAACAGGUGCUAAUACCGUAUAACAAUCGAAACCGCAUGGUUUUGAUUUGAAAGGCGCUUUCGGGUGUCGCUGAUGGAUGGACCCGCGGUGCAUUAGCUAGUUGGUGAGGUAACGGCUCACCAAGGCCACGAUGCAUAGCCGACCUGAGAGGGUGAUCGGCCACAUUGGGACUGAGACACGGCCCAAACUCCUACGGGAGGCAGCAGUAGGGAAUCUUCGGCAAUGGACGAAAGUCUGACCGAGCAACGCCGCGUGAGUGAAGAAGGUUUUCGGAUCGUAAAACUCUGUUGUUAGAGAAGAACAAGGAUGAGAGUAACUGUUCAUCCCUUGACGGUAUCUAACCAGAAAGCCACGGCUAACUACGUGCCAGCAGCCGCGGUAAUACGUAGGUGGCAAGCGUUGUCCGGAUUUAUUGGGCGUAAAGCGAGCGCAGGCGGUUUCUUAAGUCUGAUGUGAAAGCCCCCGGCUCAACCGGGGAGGGUCAUUGGAAACUGGGAGACUUGAGUGCAGAAGAGGAGAGUGGAAUUCCAUGUGUAGCGGUGAAAUGCGUAGAUAUAUGGAGGAACACCAGUGGCGAAGGCGGCUCUCUGGUCUGUAACUGACGCUGAGGCUCGAAAGCGUGGGGAGCAAACAGGAUUAGAUACCCUGGUAGUCCACGCCGUAAACGAUGAGUGCUAAGUGUUGGAGGGUUUCCGCCCUUCAGUGCUGCAGCUAACGCAUUAAGCACUCCGCCUGGGGAGUACGACCGCAAGGUUGAAACUCAAAGGAAUUGACGGGGGCCCGCACAACCGGUGGAACAUGUGGUUUAAUUCGAACCAACGCGAACAACCUUACCAGGUCUUGACAUCCUUUGACCACUCUAGAGAUAGAGCUUCCCCUUCGGGGGCAAAGUGACAGGUGGUGCAUGGUUGUCGUCAGCUCGUGUCGUGAGAUGUUGGGUUAAGUCCCGCAACGAGCGCAACCCUUAUUGUUAGUUGCCAUCAUUCAGUUGGGCACUCUAGCAAGACUGCCGGUGACAAACCGGAGGAAGGUGGGGAUGACGUCAAAUCAUCAUGCCCCUUAUGACCUGGGCUACACACGUGCUACAAUGGGAAGUACAACGAGUUGCGAAGUCGCGAGGCUAAGCUAAUCUCUUAAAGCUUCUCUCAGUUCGGAU
rnacentral:rRNA from 1 species